UCACCGGUUACCCAUCCUGUCGGCGGGAGUGGUAACAGGCACGAAAAACACCGACUAAACGUGUAGUAAAUGUCCGGCAGAAGGUUCUGGACGGGGGUUCGAUUCCCCCCAUCUCCACCA
rnacentral:tmRNA from 1 species